UGCAAUUCUUUUUGUAUAAUAGAAUUUAGGUUAAUUCUGGACUCUCAGAACUUGACUCGGGCACUUGCUGUUGGUCAGCCAUCUUUUGCCAGCUACUUUGCCUUGCAAACUCGCAGCACUAGAUGGCAGUGCAAUGGCAAAAACCUGCCCCGUGCUGCCAGCCAGGGAAGUCAAUUUUUACCUAAAAAGCUGGAUGAAAUUUAAAAUUUGAAUGCAAAACAACCAGACCUUAACAUGCCUCUUCAACCUCCUUAAAUUUCUGUAACGGUCUCUGUAAAGACCUAGGACAAGGUCUUCACUUAUGACCCAAUGGCAGAGGAGCUACACCAGUUUAUGCCACCCACAGAUUUGGCCCACAGAGCUCACAUGACUAUCACAGCCAUACCUGUGAUUUGCAUAUAUAUGAUAUUAGGUCAGGAAAGAAAUUCGGGUAAGGUUUAAAAUGCAGAAGCAGUAAAGCAAACAAGCAUGAUAUUUUUCUUCACAAUUAAGCUUUCCUUACUCUUCAGCUAUUGUUCAUGCUUCCCCACAGGAUAACGCUUUGAGUUGCUUUGCAGCCCCAGACUUGGUGGUGCAAUAAAUGAAGCUACAGGUCACCUCAUUUCAAUUCUUUUGACAUAAAAAGCCUCUGCAACAUUCAAUCCCAUUUUGUGGCCCAAAGGGGAACGUAAGUGGUGCAUGGGUAUUGGUUUGGUUUUCUGUAGGGAAAAUUCCAUCCUAUGAGCCCAUGUAAUUGAACCGUAUGGGUUACAUGUGUUCAUGUAUGUUUUCUUAGGUCUGGAUUAGCACCCUCAUUUAUGACCAAGAUUUGAACAAGGAGGAAAAUGUCACAGUACAGGAAAAAAAAAAAACAACAAGAUAAAAAUAAAAGGCAGAAAGACAGUCUUCACCACACUAAACAUCAUCCUUUUUGGACAUCACGAAUACAGCUGUUGGCCAAGAGUGAGAUCUGAAGGUCUUUGUUAGGAAACGUUAUUGCUGAGAUUUUCACUGUUUGGAUUUCCUGUUUUCCUCACUUCUGAACCCUUUAGCUUUUGUAAUCUAAGCAGGGUCAGGUCUGGUCAUCCGUGGGGAAACAGACUGACUGUGAACAACAAAGCUAUGUACUGCAAGAACAGCACUGAGCAGUCAGUAGGUAAAUGGCUGGGUAGGGUAUGGAGGCAGCCAGAAUCCUCAGCAGAGUCUGCUCUGACCUUCCACGUGAUGCUGGCCAUAAGACUUCCCUGUUUGAACUGGCUCUGUCUAGAUAAAAAAUACCUGUCCUUGAUUUUAAAACACUUGAGUGAUGAAAAACCACCCACUGUCCUUCAGAAGUGCUUUCAGGGGUUAAUGGCCUUUGGCUGUUAAAAACAAGUAUCUUAUUUUUGCUCAAAAUCUACUUAGCUUUAAUUUCCUUGUCUUGCAUUUGAUUAUACCUCUAUCUGUAGACAGAAGAACUCUCGUGAAAAUUUUUGGUAGGAGUCUGAUGCCCAGAUACAAAAUGCUCCAAAAGAUGCUCCAAGAGCCAUCAACUUCCAGAUAAGAUGUGAAAGUCAGAUUGGAAACAUUUGAUCUCUCCCCAAACCCAUUCUUGUUAAAUGUGCCAAAAUCCAUUCAGUCAAUCCAUUCACUGACUAUCCACAAACUCCCUCUCCAGUAUCAGUAUCAUAAAAUGCUUUUAACAGUGCUGAAGUGGUGAUAUCCCUGCAUGCAUGUGCCUUUAUGUUUUCAUUGGCUGAACACUGUAAUAUUUUUCCCUGCAACAGCUAAAGCAAAGUUAGCCCUAGAAGGGAUGAAAUUAAACCAGUGUAAAGGUGCAUGAUUGAAAAUAUACAGAGAGAGGUUGAAAAGUCCCACCCACUGUGGCCACACUUGGUGGCAGGUCAUAUAAUUAUACCAGCAUAGUUGAAGGGAUAUAAUCCUAUUGUGGUAGGUGCUAUUAAUGUUAUUGUGUAAUAUUAUUUGCCACUGUGUGGUACUUAGCAGUUACUCUAAGUAAAGUGAUUAAGCACUGUACAACAUGGCUGUGUAUCAGGUGAGCCUGUGGAGUAAAUCAGUGCUGUCAGCCAGUCCAGUUCUUUGUGCAGAGUCUGAAGGAAUGACUGCCAUAGUGUACUGAGCUCAUUUUAACUUCUGCACAUGCAUUUGAUGUAAGCUAAACUUGGGCCUGUCUCACCAUCCCUGCAGUGUGACCAGGAAUUCUGCUUUGUACCAUCUCUGCCAGUAUCCCUCAUUUCCUUUCCACCAUUUGAAACACCAAUUUUCACCAGCGGAUAGGUUAGAUCUGCUCUGGAAGGCAGCCUUCACAAGGCUAAUAACUUUCCUUCCCUUUCUAAUUAUGCAUGGCCCAUUUUCUCACAGAUAUGCGUUGGCUUUUCUCAGGGUUAUCAUGGCACAGCCCAUCCGUGUUUUUGAGUUCCUUCUAGCUGCAAGUGUGAUUAAGUUCAACUUUUUUGAAGGGCAGCUGGGAAGACUUUCACAGAGUGGCAUUUAAGGGUUGGAUUUGUCCCAGAACCUCCACCGAAUGCCUUGGAUUUCACCUUCAAAUGCAUAGGUAUAGGCGAUGCCAUGCAGACAUUUAGGACUUGAUUCUCCUCUCACUACAGUGCUGUUUUGAAGAAAGGCAGAGAAAUUACCUGGAUUAUAUCAGCAUAAUUUAUAUCUUUGUAAAAGGACAAUUGGGUUCUUGGGUUGCUGGAUGGAUAAUACGCUGUUUCAGUCAAGUUGUUAGGUAUCUGAAGGUGUCAGGGCUAUUCUGCAAAUUGAACUAUGAUGUGGAGUGAGAGGACCCGGGGUCCUGCUGUGAUCUCUCUCUGCCUUCUUCCCCGUGUACAUGCCUGAGUGGGGCAAUGUGCCCCAUCUCUCCUCUGGAGCGGGUGGGCUGGGCAGCGGCUCCAGUUCUCCCACUCGCUGACCCUCCCAGCAGUAUUGCUGCAACAGGACGUUGUGACUUACGAGGACGAGGACGGGCCAGCAGGAAAUUCCUACCUCCGCCCCCCAGGAGAAAGAAGGAAGCAGAAGAAGCGCUGUGACUCACUCGGUCAUGACUGAGUCACUGCAGACGCAGUUCCCGGGGUGGUGCUCAGCUCGCACCAGCCCUGAUCCUGACCCUGCGCACAGCCCCGCUCCCCGUCCCCUGGAGCGCAGCUGGAAUUAACUUGCACUUCUGCACUGAUGCCCAGAGUUAUCUGAGGGGGAGAAUGAGAAGCUGCAUGUAGAAAAAGACCUGAUUUAGUCAAUGCUCUUCUUUAACACCUGAAGCAAUUUAUGGCAGGUGCCUGGCAGCUUACAGUAUUCAACGGGAUAUUUAUUGGGGAUCAGAAAAUAUACUUAGUUGAACAAAUCUCUCAUCUGUCUUCGGCUUACCACAGACUCGCUGAAAUUGGAUGGGAUCAUUUGCUGUCCAGUUGCAGAUAAUAAAUCAAAGAGCUGAAGAAACUGCAGGAGAAAGGGCAUGAACUGACCAAACAUUUAGCUUAUUGUAGUAAGCAUCAGCCCAGCCAAAAUGAAAGUUUCCAGCAAAUUUUCACUUAUCUCAAAUCCAGUUAUUAUUAUCAGCUCCCUGUAGGCAGCUGAGUUGUCUAAGUAAACAGAGGUCACUUUACCUUGACUAAACAAUGACUUUGCUAUAGUCGGUGCCAGCUAUGUAGCAGUUACAAAAUGCACUUUGAAGGCUUGCUGGUAGCAGGCUGCCAGGGUGAAUGAACCAGUCAGUCUGGUCUACUUUGGGCAGGAUUUAGGAUGCUUAGUUAGAUGAAGCUGUGGUCGGAUCAGCUGAUCCCAUUCUUUGAGUGGGGAUAUAGUACGCAAACGAACAGACAUGUAUAAGGAGGAAGCGGACAGGAGCUGGGGGAGUGGAGAAAGGAUGACUUUCCUCUGAUGUCAAAAAUCCCAUCAUUCAGUGCUCACAGUGAAAAAGACAAGAGGAGAAGAACGUGGAGAGAGAGAGAGGGAGAGGGAGAAGAAAUGAAGGGGAAGCAUGCACUAAUUUUUCUCCCUCAUUCUGUAGGCUAGCACUGUCCACCCUAAUAGGAUGGAGAAAAUAGCCUGAUCCCGAGUGCCAAGUUCUGAACAGCCUUCCAAGCCCCAGGGAUUGUUCACAACCCCAUCCCGAUCUGGACUUGAGGUGUUAGAUAUCCAGCUCUCCCAGGAUUUCUGCAGUGUGGUGAGAAAAGGACCAGAGCUGGCUGUAAGUGAAUUAGAUCAAGCAGCAGACACAGGAUUGCUGGAGUUGCCUGCAUCUCUGUCCAGGCUGCUAAUUCUUCCUUCUGAGGAGCUGAUUUCAAAAGGUGGUUCUUCCCAAACAAAGAUAAGCAGUCAGUUGCCUACUGAAGAAACCCCCUUCCUCCCCAUAGGAGGGAGUGGCCUUUUAGUGAUCAAGGCGAACAUGUGUAGGAAAGGGGGUUCUAUUGGAAAUGCUUAAGGCAUUCUCGAAUACGUUCCUUGAAGAGUUGGGCCUAGCAAUAUGGCAGCGCACAUUCGAUAAGAAAUCUUGUAAAAUGCUGCUACUGAGGAUAUCAGAUGAGGAUAACAAAAGUAAUCUGGACAUAGCAGCUCUCUUCCAAGGACCUCAGAACACUCCAAGGACAUGGUAAGUAUUGUUGUGAUGAUUCUGUAUUUUGGGGAUGCAGGGUAGGAAGAGGUGAAGUGAUUUUAUCACUGACUUGAUGGGGAAUUAGACAACAGUAUACAAAACAGUGAGGUUCAAAUUAGAAGUUUUGGGUUGUCAAGCUCCUCACUUGAUAGAGCACUGUUCUGGUAAUGCCCAAAUCAUGAUGCCUUUGCCCAGCUUUGCUUUCCAUAUAUGUGCCUCACACUGUGAAUUUGUACCUUGUCCUCAUGUCAUUAGAAUUCUUUGUUUGUAUUAUUAAAUACUUUUUACUCCACUGAAGACAUUUUAUUAAUUUGUAAACUAUUCUCAUAUGUUAUCAUAUAUGCUGUCCAUAUAGCUGAGAUGUAACUUAUUUUAAAGGUAUUUCCUAAAUGAUCUCUGUAUAGUUUGCCCAGAGUGAAAUUAUUGAUUUGUCUCAAAAAGGUCUUAAGGUUUUAUAGUUAAUGCUUAAGUCUCUAAACCAUCCUCUCUGGCUGAGCAUCCUUUCUCCUGUGUGCCUUCUACUUUGAAUUGCUAAUUCCAAUUGGUCACAAAAAAGUAGUAAUAGUUUGUCUUUACUCUGCUUUUGCUGUAACUGUGCACCUACCAAAGUCUCUUCUUCCUUUGAACUUGUCUUCGUAAUUAAACUCAUUCUUCCUUUCUGUUUUCCAGCUUCUCUCUCCAAACUUUUUCUCACUCCAUUUCUGCAAGACCUUUUCCUGCAAACCAGGGCCCUGAGAGGAUUAGUGAAGGGGGUGCCAAUUUAUUUAAACCCACCUCAGCAUGGUAGCAGCCAAUUAUUAUAAGUUACUGAAUUGGUAAAUGACCUGUAGCACACAAAAGAAGCUUCAGUCUUCAGGUGUAGUUCAGAGUGGAUAAGUGUCUACCUCACAGCUGCUCUGAACUUACCGCCAGUUCUGGCAUUUGGUUUGGGUUUGGUGGGGUUUUUUCUGCUUCUGAACCUGUUCACAUUGGUAAUAUGAACGCGCAUGCUCAGGACUAAAUGGACUGCAGAGACUUGGCCUCUUUAAAUAUGAGAGCAAUUUUCAGGCCUCUUCCAGUUGCACUUAUUUCACUGAAAAAAAAAAAUCCAAACAACCAAACAAACCCCCCAAACAACCAAAAAACAGAACAAAAGAUAAAUAUGAGGAGCUGUGGAAAUGCCUCAGACUUCCUCUGUUUAAUUCCUGGUGGUCACAGUGCCAGGUGAUGUUGCCAUUUAUGCUUUCUUCUGUAGUGCCUGGCUUGAAUGAUCCGAAAGCAGCAAGCUAAGUUAAAUGCAUGACUGUGAUCAAAAGAGAAUGACGCCUCUAUUUUUUGUGCCAGCCUGCAGGCCCUUAGGUUUGGAAUCUGAGUCUUUGAAAACCAAGGUUACUGGACUCUAGUAAAUGAAGUGUCCGGAUGUUACUGAUGAUUCAUAAAAGCAAUUAAAAAAGGAAAGUGCUUUUCCGCUGAGCGUAAUGUCUUGGUUUGAAGAUAUCCUUAAGUGUGUGUGUAAUGCUGCAAAUAGUGGUCAGUGGGUAGUGACCACUGUGCUAGAGAUUAUGGAUCUGUUUCCAGCAUAAUGCUUCUUUUCACAUGGUUCUGAUGAUCAAAUCCUUUUUUUUUUUCUUUGGUAGUUGAAUUUUUCUUAUUUAGUUUCUAUUUCAGAAUAGUUUCCAUCUCUUCCUACUUCUUAAAUUGGUGAAAAAAAUCUGCUGAGGUGGUAUAUUUUCCGUGGGAGAAACAUGUUAUUUGCAGCGUAAAUAUUGAAGAUGGCAAAUAAUUGAAAUUUAUCAAAUAUUACCCCCCUCCCCCCCAUGCCACCCUCCUGCAUUUCAGAGCUGACCUUCCACAAACACAGAACGCCUCAUUUGUACAGCUUUCAAAGUGAUUUUCAAUAAGCAAGACUGAACUCAGUUAAAACAUGAGUAGGAUUAUUGUUGUAUACAAAGAUCCCUCAGCCCGGCCACAUUGCCUAAGCAAGAAGUAGACCCUGAGGCAUGCUCUACAAGCUUCUCCCUACAUGGCUUUUCAAGCCAUCUCCAACCAACCUGUUAGCUGUUAGUGAUGGCUACUAGGCUCUGCUGCUGCUGUUCUAGAGCAGCCCUUUCCAGUCUUACUUCCUUCUCCAAGUGGAUGCCUCUCGCUUCUCUUGGGGCCUGUGCAUAUUCCAAAGCUGGGGCUUCAGGUUGCUUUGCCCUCGCUUGGUCAGCCUACGUAUAUGUGCUAAAGGGAAGCAAAAUAGUUUACUGAUUUAUCAUGGAUCAUUAGAUGGAGUAACUAUUCUUAAAACAUCACCAGUAUAGAUACAAUUAUUAGAGGUGUGCUUUUGCUAACAUUGCCAGCCCCUACCCUCUUGUACAGUACCCUUGGGUACUAAAUAAUUACCCAUUUUGUGUGGUUAUCUAGCUCACUAAUUACCCACAAAAAUUGGGGUCAGGUGUUAACUGCUUGAAAUAAGUAUCCUCCAAAGACUUGGUUAAAUCGUAUAAAGAAAUCAUGUGUUUGCAACAAAAUUUUAAAAGAAAAAAAAUCAAACAUUUUUUUGGAAGGAAGAUAAGGGAACGUGCAAAAGACAAUAGAUGCAAAUUGUUUGGUGUGAUGGCAAAAUCUUGCCUGCUGCUGGGAUGGUGAGGGAAUCUGUAGGGAGAGUGAAAGGAUCGUUGGCAGAUACAGUCUCUCUAAUCCAGUCAACUUUUCCCAAAGAUUAGAUCCUUUAGUACACAGGGUUUGAUUCUUCCCCUAUCUAGGCUGAUGUCAAUCAGGAUUAUGUUGGUAUAAAUAAGAAAAUUUGUAUCCGUGAUUCCCUGGACCGACUUCACUGCAUAAUCCCACCUCUUCUCUCACCCAGGGACUUCUGCGUUGCCUCCAAUGAUCUAAUUAUGCAUUGUAUAUUUAUUUCCAUAUGUUUAUUUUAGUUGUUUCAAACUCUGUAUGCAUGCAGAAUUUCAUUCUGAGGCUGCUGCUCCUAAAAUGUAGCUUGCUUUGAGUAAUAAUUUAAUUCCUGUGCUCAGGGAGUUACCCCAGUGAGUCAAAGAUUUCUAGAUAGCCCCACCCUCCCCAACUUCCCGAACACUGCAGUCACUUUCUCUUUGCCAGACCCACACAAGAUGUCUAGCUAGCCAAAAUCCCAAGAGGCAGCUUCUCCUGCCUUCCCCAUUUUAGCCCCAGAAAACUAGGAAAUAAAGCCACAGGAGCCCUAAAGCCCUUGAAAUAGCCGGCACGUGUAACAGAGGGAUAGUUAAUAGACUGUCUUCCUAACCUGGUUUCUUGCAUCAGUGCUUGCUGUCUUCAAUACAAAGGAAACAUUUCAUCGGGCACUAAGAAGGUGUUUCUGAAAAUCCCACUGUGCACCUGUCAGGGUCUUUGGAUACCCAGAUACCUUUAAGUCCUAAGGAUCUGUGCAGUGCGUAGUGUUACAAGGAAACCACCUUCUUUAUUUAUUUCUGUAUUUUGCAUUAGGUGCUUCCUCUCCCUUGUAGCGAAGACUACCUUCUCUUCCCAUGAGCACAUUUGAAGCCUGUGCAGAGUCAGGUAUUAGGCAUCAACAGCCCCACCUCCCAUUUCCAUUGCUCAGGCAAGUGUGGGGUCUCAGGUAAGGCCCCACUCGGCUAGGUGUGUGCUGUCUUUUCAGGGGCAUACCUGCACUCCGCAUUGUGUACUGCAUCUCUGGGGAAUGCAGGGAUCAGCCCAGUAAAGCACAAUGCAGAUUUAGUCGUCAUCUUUGUCUUCCCCCCCACUCCUCUGCUCCCCGCUGAUGUUAACUGUCUGUAUUAUUAUUUAUUGUUAUCAAGGGAUUUGGUUUGAUCAAUGAAGUGUAUAUGCGUCUGACGGACAUUCGGAGAGGAAAUGCUUGGAGAAUGAGUAACAUGUCUGCAGCAGAGGGUGUGUGUGAGGGAGAGAGAGGGAGCAUCGGUACUAGAAACAUUGACUGAUGAGUUCAUUUUAAAAUCCAAGGGCAUAUAGCUGGUAAAUUAGCACAUAUUGCAAAUAUAGUCUGGUGUGAGAGGCAGCAGUGCUGCCAUUGAGCGGGGCGGGGUGGGGGGUGGAGGGUGUCGAGGAGAGGAGAUUGUCAGCUCUAAAGUCAUCACGGGCAUGAGCCAGGCUGUCUGCCUGCCUCAAUGCAGACGUGGGGCGUGCGAUUUCCACGGGCGGCUGCGGGCUGCAGUGUGGCGGAGGGGGGGAGCGGGGGAAACCGAGAUAGCAGCGGUGGAUUUUAUUGUUUUAAAAUCCAGAUCCAGCCAGAGGGAUGCUAGGCGAAGGGCUGCAGUCCCGCCACUCCCCGCCUCAUCCCCUUCUCUCUCACCCCCCCCCCCCCCCGCACCCCCUGAGGAGGGCAGCGUGGGGCGGGAGCGGGUGCCCGGCUGCCCGGGAGGGUCCCGGGGCUGGGCGCAGCGACAGGGGCUGCCCGGCGGCGGGACAGGCUGCGGCACCGGCACCGGGACGGGGCAGCCGCGCCGGAGAUGCGCCGGCGGCCGCGGCGGCGGGUUUUUCCCGGGAGCUUAAGAGCUUAUUGAGGAGGGGUGAGCGGGGCCGGUGUGUGUGUGCGAGGCUGGCGGCGGGGGGAGCGAGUCCUUAUUCUGUUAAAGAUUUAAGUAGGCAUGCAAGGAAUCUCUAGGAUAGUUGGCAAAGGGCGAGGGUGGGGAGGGGGGGGAAGGAUCCAAAAGAGUCUGUAACCAGACACUGAAGCUUUCCAGGAGUGAGAGUGUGUGAGAGAGACGGAGACAGAGCGAGAGGAAGAGAGGGGGCAGUGUGGUCUAGUACAUUUUCAUCUGGUCGUUGAUUUGAGCCUGAUGCUUGCUGUCCCUCAACAGCCUCCCUUGCCUGUAUUUUUUCUUUCCCCCUCUCCUUUCCCUUCUACUUCAUCGAAGCCUAGGGGAGCCAGUAAAGAUUAAAUGUGCUUUCUAAAAGGCAGCCACUUCAUGCAGCUAUGUCUACUCCCCCCCCCCCAGCUACCCCCCCACUCCCCCUAUUUGAAAUAAAAAAAAAAAAAACAAAAAAAAAAAAACCGGAGAGAGGGGGAGACAGAGAGGGGGAGAAGGAAGGAGGAGGAAGAGGAGGACUAUAGUUUAAUGAUGUCGGGACUGGCUGAUCCAUGAAGGAGGAAAAAAAAAAAAAAACCACACCAAAAAAAAAAACCAAACCAAAAAAUUGAGAUCCUGGACGAGGAAGGACUUUGGUGAAUGGGCUCAGACUCCUGAGGUGAGAAAAGGACGGGGAGUGAAUGAUGAUGAUUCCAUAAUGGUGCCUGUUACCGCUGCCCCCGGCCGUGCGGUGGCGGGGAGCGCCGGGGCACGGAGCCGGGCUGGCCCGGCGUGCGGGGCCGGGGCCGGGGGGGACCCGCUUUCGGCGGCGGGCGAGCAGCGGCGGAUAUUUUGCAUUUUUAAACUCGGGCCCUCCGGUACGUUUCGGCUUCUCCCCGCUUAUGCCGGUGGGCCUAAGCCGUUCCAGAGAUGGGUGGAGGGUGCAGAUCCGUAUUAUUUAUUUGGGCGGGGGGGGGGGGGGUGUGGGGGUGGAAGAGGGAGGAAAGGGAGGGAGGGAAGGAAGGGGAAAAGAGCGGAGAAGGAGGUGGCAAGCUGGGGACGAAAUGGUGCUCUCGGUUAUGGCCGGCGUAAAUUUCCAUUGGCUGGGGUUGCACAAGGUGCUUGGAGAGGAGUCGGUGCAGGAUGGAGUCCCUUUUGUGUGUGUGUGUGUGUGUGUGUGUGCGCGCACGGUGCUCGCGGACCCUUCUCUCCCGGGGAAGCGGGUUUUUCUCCAGGUUUUCCUUCGGAAGCGCUGCCCGCGGCUGGCAGGGGAGGGUGGCCGUGGCUGCGGCGGCGCUGCCCGCGCCCUCCCUCCCCGCUGACAGUCUGGGGCUGGCUCUGGCACCGGGCUGGCCCUGGCUCCGGCCGCCCCCAGCUGAUGCUGUAGUUAGGAGCGGGCCGCUGCUUGCAGACCCCCCCACCCCCCCACCCUCCCCAGCCCCUUCUCUUAAUAAUAAUAAUAAUAAUAAUAAUAACAACAAUAACAGCAGCAGCAUUGGAGGGUGCGCGGAGGGAGGAGGGCGGCAAGCGAGGAGCUGCGGAGGAAUUUGGUUCCUUUUCCUUUUCCCCCUUUUCUUUUCCUUGAUAUAUUCCCUUAAAAAAAAAAAAAAAAAAAAAAAAAAAAAAAAAAAAAAGAUGUUUUAAAAAUGCAAGCGGCUUGCCCAGCUGCACACACCCACCCUCGCCUCCCUCCCCCGGCUUGCGCACACCGCACGCUCGCACUCGCUCGCUCGCCCGCGCUCGCUCGGGUGUCAAAACCCGCCGGGCACCCAGCCUGGUCCGGGCACUGCCCCUGCCCCUGCCCCGAGCCCGCCCGGGGGUCCGCCCGCCCCUCGCCUCCCCGCCGCCGGGCUUUUCCCCCCCUGCUCUUGGCGCUGAAGAUCGGAGCCUCCCCCGCUUCCAAAUGGUGAGUUUCUACCUGAUUUUCUUGCAACUCGGGGUUUUUCUCCAUCCCUGCCGGCCGCGGGGCUGGCGGAGGGGGCGGGGAGGCAGCGCCUUUAUGCUGCUGCAUGCUUUGUGCCAGGCGGCUGGAGGGAGAGCCUGCAUAUUCCUGCUCUUAUUUCUGCAUUCCUUUUCGUUGAAACAAUGAAAAUAAUUCCGUCACUGCCCCAAACUUCCCUUUCUUUCCUCCUCUUCGUUAUUUAAACGCGGAGACUUUUCAUGUAUUUGUCGCAAGCGACCUUGUUGGAAGCUGUAAGGAACCUGCCGCGCCUUGUCAUUUUUGUAUAAACGAUUAAAAAUGGAAUGUAUUCUCUCAACAGAGGGUCCUUAGAGAAGCUCUUUCCUUCCACCUGUGUGUCCUGUUUUGUAAUCUUGAUCCAUGAAUUGAACUUGCCUGCUAUUCUUUUCCUCUUUCUCCUUUUUAUCUUUUAUUUUUGAUCCCUGUUUUUUGCAAGAAAUAGUUUGUUGCGCCCCUCUCAAUCCCUGAGACCCUAACUUGUGAUGUUUAGCUUUUAAAUCCACGGGUUAGGCUCUUGGGAGCUGUGAGUUGUGCUUUGACAUCUUUAUUUUAUAAAUAUAUCAUAUAUAUAUGUAUAUGUGUGUGCGCGCGUGUGUGUAUAUAUAUAUAGACAUAUACACACACAUACAACAGUGUUUAGUAGACCUUUUAAGGGAAAAACGUGCAUCCUCUGUAGGGUUGAUCGGCUAAUAGUAGGGCGGUGGUUAUGGCCAUAUACUGUAAAAAUAUCUCAAAUUAAAACUAGCGUUUGUACAGCAGAUUUGUGUGUGUGUAUAUUCAAGCUAUAAUUUUACAGCUGAUACAGAUAUGGGGGUGUAUGUGUGUACACAUAUAGUGAUAUUAUAUAUGCGUGUGUAGAUAAGAUAUACACGAUAUGGAUGCAUGUAAUAUAGCUAUUGAGGUGUGUGUAUAGAUACACAUAUGGAUGAUAUGUGUGUAUGAAUAUGUAUGUAGGCAAAUAAAACCCUAGAUAUGUAUAUAUAUUUACAUAUGUAGGUAUAUUAAUAGACAUGCCAGUGUUUUCAUAUUGAGAGAGAUUUGCCUUGCUGCAGGCCACUGCAUAUAGCAUCUCUCUUCCCCCCCCCCCCCCCCCCCCCCCCUUUUUUUUCCCCCCUUCCCUCCCUUCUUGAGAGCAACACAGAGUACCCUGAGAGCGUAACAGUAACAGCUCGGUACAUUCGUGCUUGACCUCAGCUGAAAUCCCAGCAUGCCUCAUGCUUCCAAGUUUAAAACUGAACGAUUAAUCUUAGAAAUGUGCUCUAUGGACACACACACACACACACACACACACACACACACACAAAAGGGAAAAAACCCCCAACAGUGAAAAAGCCAGGAGACCGGUUGGAUCUUAUGGAUCGUUAGGUCAAAAAUAAACUAAAUAAUAAAAUGGUUGUGUGUACUAAUGGUUGGAAACUACUAAAAAGAAAUUCUGAGCCAAUGGUGAAGUUUUGUCUUAGUCUUUUUCUAGAACUUAAAACUUUCCUGCUUUUCCAGUCAAAAAAAUAUGUAAAUGACAAAUCAGAAAUGUUAAAAAUGUUUGCUGCUGCUGUUUUUCUUUAUUAGAUUUUUACAUUGCUGUAAAAUUAAUUUUGAUUGGUACUGUAUUUCUUAUCUCUGUUUUGCGAGGCAAUUUAUAAUGAAGUUACUGUACCUUGUUAUGGCACCGAUUUACUGUUUGAUAUUUGAAUGCAAAUGCUUUAACUUAAACCACAAUGCACCAAAAAUUAAUUGAUGGUGUAACAUUUUGGUAUUUGGUAGCUCAGGGUAUGUUUGAUGGUUUCCAUUGUUUAAUAGUUAUCAAACUGGAAAAGGUUGCUUGUUCGAUAUUUUUUUUUAAGCUUUUUAAUGACACUGUAAUUUCAUUGAGUAUUUUACCUCUAUGGAAAAAAAAAUGCCAGCAAAGCCUUUCACUUCUGAAUUUGUGUGUUUUUCCAAACGUCUUCUAAUUUCAAAGUGAGAAACUUAUUCUGCGUUGCGUUUAUUUUCUGUUUACCUGUUCGGCGUUGUAAAUCAGGAUAGGAUACGGUAGUACCCGGCCACCUUUGUCCAGCUAUUCCCCCCACCUCAGAGACGGGCAAAAAGUAGUUUUUUCCCUUCUGAAGCUGUUUUUAAUCGCUGUUGUUGUUGUUUCCCCCCCCCCCCCCCCCCCCAGCUUGGGGGGAAGGGGCGAGCGCUUUUGUCUGCCCCGGGCUCGCAGCCGCCUGCGGUGCCCGUCCCCGCAUCCCCGCCGGCUGGCACCGCGCUGCGCCCUUGCCGGAGGGGGGUCACCGGGGAGCCCCCCGGCGCGGCCGCGCCCGCACCCCUCCGCGGAGCCCCUCCCUCCCCGGCGGCUGCAGCACCGCUAUUGUCUCCGCGCUGCGCGGUGCGGAGCGGAGCCAGGCGGGAGUUGCGCGGGGCUGCGGCAAAACAAGGCGGGGGGGGGGAGGGGGCGCUGGCGGCCGGCCCUGCGGCUGCGGGGGCAGGGCCCGCUCCCCUCCCCGCCGGGCGCGCAGCGCUCCGCUCCGGCGCAGCGAAGAGCAUAAUUGGGAGCGGGUUCAAUCACUACCAGUCUAGACUCGCCCAGACACAUCAAUUAGCGGCGCUGGCGUUUUAAAGGCGCAGCGCGGCUGGAAGCAGCCCGGGCCGCGGGAGCCGCAGCGCGGCGAGCGAGCGGAAUAAAACCCAACGCAAUGAAAAACAGUUGGCAGGGAUUAAAAUAAGGAGGAAGCCCGAAAACUAGGCUCCCCCACUUUCCAUUUCCAGUGGAAAAGGCGAGGUUCUUGCGAGAAGAAAACGUGGGAAUAGGAGCUGAAGCACAGCGUAAGGCAUCCCGCAGCCCGCCGGCGCGGGGCUUCGCGGCCGGGCCGCUGCCCGCCGGCCGAGGGGGCGUCAGCCCCACCGAACCUCGGCGCCUUAUCAAUACCCCCUUGGAACAACUUCUUUGCAAGCAAAUGUAAAUCAGUGCGGAACUACUCCUGCAACGGUUUUUACCUUCUGCAGACAAAAGAAGGGAUGUUGAGUUUUGGGUUUAUUUUUGCUUUAUAUAUAUACAGACAAAUUAUAUUUUAUAUAUAUAUGUAUUUAUCUAUAUAUAUUUAAUAUAUAUAUAGCUACAAGGCUACCUUGUCUUAGUAUUACACAGUUUCUUCAGUGACAAUUUCAUCAGUCUCUGUAGUUGCACGUUUUCACUGGAAUAAAAGGAAGCUGUGGACAAAAAGACAGUUUUUUAUCUUAAGAGGGAAAUGGAAGAGAAAAUAAACCUUAGGUGUUAAUUUAAUUAACAAAUAGAAUAAGUAAACUGGGCUUAGUAAGGAUUGAAGAUCUUAUUCAGCCACUAAGAAAAAUACCAGACUGGGACUAGUUUCAAUUAAAAGUAUUUCUAAUAUGCUACCAUGACAUCUAAUAUAACACGUUCCCAAGUACUCUGUGCAAUACGUGAUGCAAAUAAUUAAAAAGGAGAAAGAUAGACAAAGCCAGGUAUAUUUUUUCUUGAGUAGUGCUUUUUUAAAAAAAAUCACGCAAAUUUUGAAAAACUCUAGUGUCUAGAAGUUCUGUCUGGGCAGUCGCUGUAGCAUUUGGCUCUGUGACUUUGACCUUGUUGCAGCUUAGUUGGAACUUGCUUUCCCAGGUUGAAAGGCAUGGGGUUUGGUGGCAGCAAAAGGUAAAAAAGGUCCAAGGCAUUCUGCAGUUUCCCAUUGUUGCUCUUUUAUUUCAAGGGUUUUAACGGUACCUAAAGUUGCAUAGUACUGCAGCUCAGAAAAUGGAGAAUACUUGUACUAUCUGUCUUUCCUGAAUAAUUUCCAAUUACUAAUUGGGCCAGAUACCAAAUUAUAGUUGAGAUACUACGUAGUGGCUAGUACUGAUUUGACUGAUUAAUUUCUAAUCAAUUUCUGAAUCAAAACUUCAUUCGUGUUAUAAAUCCUGGAUAUUAAAAUGCAACUUAAGUUGAAAUCUGAUUGCAGCCUCUUCACAAAGUCGUAUGAACUCAGUCAAAAUGCUAGUUGAAAAUGGCAUAAUAUACCUCUUUUUUUCUGUUGAAUUUGUUAGCUUCUAAUUUCUCUGCAAUGAAGUCCUUGGCCAUACUUCAGCACUUUAAAGCAAUGAAGCGUUUAUUCAUAGUAUGUUUGUGCAGCAGCCUGAUAAUCAUAGAAGGCACUGUAGUACCCAGAGUAUAAGGUAAAUGUUAAUCUGCACCUCUAACCCCUGUCAAAUGAUUUUGACUGUUUUAGUGGCCACUUCCCUUUCAUGCUACCCUGAUUUUGUUCACUUUUCUGUGAGUGAGGUGGAAUGCAGCCACACAGUUAAGAAGUUCAAAAUGCGGGCUUGUGAAAGGUGCAAGUUUCCCAGUGUCUGUGUGCAGCUCUGCACAAGGCUGGUGCGCACGGUGCUUGGAAGAGGAGCCUCUCUGCCAACUGUACCGCAUUCUUGCUGCCCUGCCUUUUUCCCAGGGCUCAGAAGGAAAGAGCAUCCCAGUUCUUCUUCACUCUAGGGAACACACACAUUGUUUCAAUAAUCCAGGCAAUAAAUGCUAAUUAGUAAUGCUUAAGGACCCUACCAGUCAGAGUAAUUAUCAUAAUUUACCUCUUCCUUGUUAAAAACAUUCCUUGCUGAUUUAAAAUUUUUUGAAGAGAUAGUUUCUUUCCUCUUCCCCUGGAAAGCAUUCCUUGUUACAUUAGCAACGAGCGCAUGGGUCUGCUGUAGCACUGGAAAACAUUUCACAUAUUGCGUGGGGAACCGGAGCUGGAGAUAAACACAUGUAAAGGUUUUCCCACACAUAAAAAAACAUUUUAAAACUGAUAUUUUUUCCUUUGCCUUCCUUCUCUGCUCCCCCUGCUUUCCCCAGCACCACCAAAAACCACUUACAGAGGGAGAACAAAGGAAAUUGCUAACUAUAAAGGGAUCAUUAAGUAUGAACAGCAACAGCAAGAUAGUGUGAUAUGACAACAUAUUUUGUUGCACAAAAGUAGAGAUAAUUAAAUAAUUCAGUGGUAUUCUUAACUAAUUAGCACAAAGAUCUUUCGGAAGCCAUCGGGAAAAUGGAAAUCAUCAAAUCUAAUAAUAUGCUACAUUUCCCAAAGACACUGUGUUUUCCAGUGUUGCUACUGCUUCACCACCUGAUACAGUGACACAAAAGGUUACAAGUAGUUGCACAUUUAUUUGGGCUGUUUCUCAAGAUAAUCUUUUCUGCAUAAGGUGAUUAAGUAUUUGAAGGAAAUCAAUAUGUAUAGCUGGAAUUUUCAGUGUUAGUCGAUAGUAGAGAAAAAGAUCAUAGCUUCAGAAAAGCCAGAUCUAUUAUUAUAAGUGAUCCAUUAAAAAGAUUAAAUUAUCAGCUCAGAGCCAUUCUUGGGUUGACUGUGAUGGGCCUGACUCAUUUUGAUUUGGAGUUGGUGAAUGAAUGCUGGAGUCCAAGAUCUUUUUAUAGAGUUAAUUGGGGACCUAGACUGCCUGUUUUCAGCUUUUCUUGACAUUGAGAAGUGUGUGGCAGAGUCUGGGAGAAGUCUGGGACCUCUGGUUUAAUGUGGGCUCUAAUUUCAAGGCCAGAGCAUUGUCUCAUUUGCCAGUGGUACAAACUGGGAAGAGCUCCAUUCUCAUCAGUGGAGUUCUUUCCAGUCUUUGGUAGGACGACUAUAACUAUCAUGCCAUGCAAACACUUUCUUCUCUAGAUGCAUGAGGUUUUUAGCUGGAAUCAGUGGCUGUAUGUAUCCAUGAGCACAAUCCAGGCCAGGUUAGCCAUCUACAGAUCCUAUACAGGGGAAUGGGCUGCAUGGACAAGUACCUGCAGGGCAUUGAUACUGCCACUGAAAAACUGCUAGGCAUGUUCUUAGUAAUUAGGUGCAUCAAAUAUUACUCAGAAUAUCUCAUUAUACUCUUUUGAUCUAAAUGUAUCCACAAGUUCAUGUGACACAUUUACAAACUGUAAUUUACUGCCUCUAUGUUUGAUGUAUUUAAGGUUACUUUUUCCUCUGCCAAACAAAGGGUUGUCUGAAAAUUUGACUUUACCAGUCAUUUAAACAUUUUCUGUUUCAAGUAAAAUGUCAGUGUGCAGCUCACCCUUUAAAUAAUGGAAGGGCGUGUGCAUCAGUCUUUUAGGUACAGCACUAGUUCUUGCUUUUACUCUGAGCCCAAACUGAACUUUACUCCUGCGUUACAGUUAUGGUGCAGGUUGACUCCAUGGACUACCCAGAAAAGUAAUGCUGUGGGGUAAGAUGCUCUGGUUUGUAAUUAAUGCAUGGAAGGUAGAACUUGGAGGCUCAUCCUGAAAUCGCACGGUGCCUAAGAUAGCAGUGUCCCUAGUACAUGGAAAGAGACUUUUCCUUCCUCAAAAGAGAUGGAGGCUGAUUUAUACAAGAUAGAUGAAGGGAACACGAGGGGAAAAGGCACCUAAAAGUGAUUUGCCCAAGGAAGCACAGCACACCAUUAGCAAAGCAAUAAUGCAUGUCUCCUGGUUUACAGGGCUGCUAUACACGUGUACAUUCUUCCUCAGUGGAACUUUCCAGGUUGUGAAUAAGGUUACUGAUAUACCAGGAGACCCUCUUGUGUACCUCCAGAUGUAAUCAUGAAAGAGUGUGUUACUUCUGUAAGCAAGUCAUGCAUUUAUUCUCUUUCAUUUUUGUGUCAUUCACCCAAUGCUGUAUUUGCUAUACAAGGCCACUACAACCCAUUAAAAAAAAAGAUAUUUUUCAAGAUGAAAGAUGAGUCUCUGAUUUACAUGGUAGUCAAAGUGACUGUGGAAGGCUGAGACUACUGCAGUCAUUUUUAUUUAACAGCUCUUCCCACAGUGUAGUCAAUGAAUCUCUAAUCUCCUGAACUGAAACAUCUGACACUUACAGAAUCAUUUAUUUGCUGGCCCUUGUGUCCGUGAUCGACUGUGUCGUGCUCACAGAGCUCCACCCAUAGCAGUGUCUUUUAGGUGGGCUGAUGGUACAUUGGAUAUAAAUUAUAUGUUCUUUAAGGGGAGGUGGGGGAUGGGGCAGGUGGGAUAAAAGGAUGAGUAUAGGCUUUACUGUGCAAUAUGUGCUUCUCAUGCUGUCCUUGAAGUAAGGGGUAGUAUCCAGCAGCAACUGUUGAAGGAUGGCUUGGGCUUCUGAGAAGCAAGGAGUAGAAAUUUAAUUUGUGCUGCUGACUCUCAGACCAUGGCUACUCAUGACAAAGAGCCAGCAUGCUGGCCGAAACUUGGUGCUAUUUGCUGUUGUAUGCCUUUGGAAGACGGGACAGAAGGGGUGCCCUUUGGUGUCCUGUGUGGCAAAGAGGAGGAUAAGCUACGUCAGCUCCUGAGAGAAGUCUCCGAACAGCUCCCUCUGGCUACUACAAGAAGCUGAACGGAUGGCUUCUGUUCCCUGGAAGCUGUGUCUGAUGAUCACAGGCCAUUAGGUACUUCUCACUUGACUGCCCUGCUGGUAACUCCACUUUUAAGAUGAAUUAUGCAAGGAAUCCUGUGAAGCAUCAGACAUUCAGGAGCUGAGGAUUAGGAAGAGCCCUCUCUCAGUGUUGAACUCAUUUCUGGAUAAAAAUCUGAGACUCACCUGGAUUCCAGCUUCUCCGGAAAGGACAAAAAGUGAAAAGGAGCCAAAAAUAAUCAGUGGACUUUGGUUUUCCUGUGCAUGUGUGCUUGUAUCAUGUCUGAACUUGCAAAGAAUAUACUUUUUUAUUCACAAGGAAUCCAGUAAAUGGUGAAUCUGUAAAUCA